UAGUUUUGCAAGACAAAGUCUCCUGUCAUAUCGAGAAACAUGGUUGUGUUCCCAAGUCCCCACCUGAAAAAGUUUCGCAAUUUCAAGAAAAAUAAGUUUUCCUCUUAUCUCUCUCUACGAAAGCAGAAGCUCUGCUAAGGCAUAGAGAAACUCCAUCUUCGAGCUAGCUCAGUUGUUCUCCUCUGCUCUACUCCAGCUCUGGGAGUUGUGGUGCUCCUUAGUUUCGGACCUGUUUGCGUUAGUUGCUCUCAAUACAGAUGGGGGAAAUCCUGGGAGUAGGCCUGGUGGUAGGAGUGGUGCAGCUUAAGGGAUCAGUAUGUGUGACUCUCAGGAGCAGUUAUGUGGCCCUAGUGCCUUUUUGUAAUUUCAUACUCUAAAGGAGCAUCGUCUUCUGUAAAACUGUUAGCUUUCCUUUGCUUUUGUUAUGGCAUGGUGGUAUAUCCAAGUUUGCUUUCACAGUAUAUACUCUUAGAUGACUGUAAU